rnacentral:rRNA from 1 species
GAUGAACGCUGGCGGCGUGCCUAAUACAUGCAAGUCGAGCGAACAGACGAGGAGCUUGCUCCUCUGACGUUAGCGGCGGACGGGUGAGUAACACGUGGAUAACCUACCUAUAAGACUGGGAUAACUUCGGGAAACCGGAGCUAAUACCGGAUAAUAUAUUGAACCGCAUGGUUCAAUAGUGAAAGACGGUUUUGCUGUCACUUAUAGAUGGAUCCGCGCCGCAUUAGCUAGUUGGUAAGGUAACGGCUUACCAAGGCAACGAUGCGUAGCCGACCUGAGAGGGUGAUCGGCCACACUGGAACUGAGACACGGUCCAGACUCCUACGGGAGGCAGCAGUAGGGAAUCUUCCGCAAUGGGCGAAAGCCUGACGGAGCAACGCCGCGUGAGUGAUGAAGGUCUUCGGAUCGUAAAACUCUGUUAUUAGGGAAGAACAAAUGUGUAAGUAACUAUGCACGUCUUGACGGUACCUAAUUAGAAAGCCACGGCUAACUACGUG